rnacentral:rRNA from 1 species
AGUGAACGCUGGCGGUAGGCCUAACACAUGCAAGUCGAACGGCAGCACAGUAAGAGCUUGCUCUUACGGGUGGCGAGUGGCGGACGGGUGAGGAAUACAUCGGAAUCUACUUUUUCGUGGGGGAUAACGUAGGGAAACUUACGCUAAUACCGCAUACGACCUACGGGUGAAAGCAGGGGAUCUUCGGACCUUGCGCGAUUGAAUGAGCCGAUGUCGGAUUAGCUAGUUGGCGGGGUAAAGGCCCACCAAGGCGACGAUCCGUAGCUGGUCUGAGAGGAUGAUCAGCCACACUGGAACUGAGACACGGUCCAGACUCCUACGGGAGGCAGAAGUGGGGAAUAUUGGACAAUGGGCGCAAGCCUGAUCCAGCCAUACCGCGUGGGUGAAGAAGGCCUUCGGGUUGUAAAGCCCUUUUGUUAGGAAAGAAAAGCAGCAGGUUAAUACCCCGCUGUUCUGACGGUACCCAAAGAAUAAGCACCGGCUAACUUCGUG